rnacentral:rRNA from 1 species
AGUGAACGCUGGCGGUAGGCCUAACACAUGCAAGUCGAACGGCAGCACAGUAAGAGCUUGCUCUUACGGGUGGCGCGUGGCGGACGGGUGAGGUAUACAUCGGAAUCUACUUUUUCGUGGGGGAUAACGUAGGGAAACUUACGCUAAUACCGCAUACGACCUACGGGUGAAAGCAGGGGAUCUUCGGACCUUGCGCGGUUGAAUGAGCCGAUGUCGGAUUAGCUAGUUGGCGGGGUAAAGGCCCACCAAGGCGACGAUCCGUAGCUGGUCUGAGAGGAUGAUCAGCCACACUGGAACUGAGACACGGUCCAGACUCCUACGGGAGGCAGCAGUGGGGAAUAUUAGACAAUGGGCGAAAGCCUGAUCCAGGCAUACCGCGUGGGUGAAGAAGGCCUUCGGGUUGGAAAGCCCUGUUGUUGGGAAAGAAAAGCAGCAGGUUAAUACGCCACUGUUCUGACGGUACCCAAAGAAUAAGCACCGGCUAACUUCGUG